CGUUUUUAGCGUUAAAGUUAACUCAUAUUUGUAUGGAGCUGGAAAGUAUGUCUACGUUUGCCACUAGGGGCGCUGUUUCAAUUUCAUACAAAUUUGACUUAACUUUUACGCUAUCGA
rnacentral:pre_miRNA from 9 species